AGUCGACGAAAGAGGGAAGAGCUUGCUCUUUCCGGAAUUGAGUGGCAAACGGGUGAGUAACACGUAAACAACCUGCCUUCAGGAUGGGGACAACAGACGGAAACGACUGCUAAUACCGAAUAAGUUCCAAGAGCCGCAUGGCCCAUGGAAGAAAAGGUGGCCUCUACCUGUAAGCUAUCGCCUGAAGAGGGGUUUGCGUCUGAUUAGCUGGUUGGAGGGGUAACGGCCCACCAAGGCGACGAUCAGUAGCCGGUCUGAGAGGAUGAACGGCCACACUGGAACUGAGACACGGUCCAGACUCCUACGGGAGGCGGCAGUGGGGAAUCUUCCGCAAUGGGCGAAAGCCUGACGGAGCAACGCCGCGUGAGUGAUGACGGCCUUCGGGUUGUAAAACUCUGUGAUCCGGGACGAAAAGGCAGAGUGCGAAGAACAAACUGCAUUGACGGUACCGGAAAAGCAAGCCACGGCUAACUACGUGCCAGCAGCCGCGGUAAUACGUAGGUGGCAAGCGUUGUCCGGAAUUAUUGGGCGUAAAGCGCGCGCAGGCGGCUUCCCAAGUCCCUCUUAAAAGUGCGGGGCUUAACCCCGUGAUGGGAAGGAAACUGGGAAGCUGGAGUAUCGGAGAGGAAAGUGGAAUUCCUAGUGUAGCGGUGAAAUGCGUAGAGAUUAGGAAGAACACCGGUGGCGAAGGCGACUUUCUGGACGAAAACUGACGC
rnacentral:rRNA from 1 species